CUGCCAUGCCCCCCACCAUGAUGAUAAUGGCUGAACCUCUGGAACUAGUCUCACUAUGCAUCAGUGGUUGGCACAGAACUGACAGGGUUCUACCUGCUUCAGCCUCCCAAUCGUUGGGAUUGAAGGAAAGCAGAACUCUACUAUGAAGUGCUGUCAUAUCACAGGCCCAAAGCAGCAGAACAAAACAGCCAUGAACUGAAACAUUUGAAAACAUGAGCCCAAAUAAAUAUCUCUGCUUGCCACACUCUAGGGGUGCUCUGUAAGACUUGGAGGAGCCAUUCACUCAUUCUUAAGGGAGGUAAUGUUGUGGGGUAAGGGAACCCACCAAUCAGUAAGUUUCCUGAUAUUUGGGAGGACAGGGUUACAAAAGGAUAUUGAUGGUGAUUUUGAAAGGAAAAAGAAGGGAGAAACAGAAAAUAGCAUCACGAGGUUGACCCGGUGCUAGUGUUGACAGUGGUGACUAGGCUGUUGCUUCUGCCAGGUGAAUGUGAGGUAGGAGAUAGGGCAGAUGAGGUCACCUGCUGUUUCUAUGUUCAUAGCAGCCUUCCUCUCUAUUCCCCAGGUCCAGGAAAGGCCACUUUCUUUUUCUUCUGACCCAUGGCUGAGCCUCCCCAUCCCACCCCACCAGCAGCACAGGUCAUAAGGCAUUGCUUCAGUUGAUCGUAAGGCCUGACUAGACAUGGACCACAGUGAUGAACAAUGCAGGCAGGGCCUUACUCUCUUGGCUCUUCUUGUGCACAUGGGAGUGAGGCCCACAGGAAGGAAUGAAGCUUACUACUGCCAGUUGAGAGCACCCAUGCAGUUCCUGAAAGGCCUAUUACUACUGCCAACAUUCAUGGAGAUGAGAUGCUAAGAGAAGCUAACAAAGACUCAAAGUCUAUUCUACUCAGAGGCAUCUGGAUUCUGAACCUUGUCUUCUUGGCCCAGGUGUUUAGGAGACCUCUUGUUCUCACCAGUGCCGAUAGCUCACAAACCAGUUCUUGGAACACUGAAGAGUUUCAGGACCUCUGGCCACAGCUGACUCUGGUCCUUGAUGACAGAACAACUGGGGCUAGCUGGAACCCUCAGUGCCACUUUAGCUCUGCUGUGAUAAUUUACCUGUCUGAAAAGUUUGGCAUUCUCUAUUCAGACUGUGCCCUGGAAUAUAUCACAGUCAUCCUCCGACAGAAAUGUAUCUGCUCCCAUCAACGGGCUCAUGGAACCCAGGAGGAAAGAUGACCGAGGAUCAGGGCUGGAUACCCUGUGUUUGUUCACUGCUGAUUGGGGAGACCACAUUUGCAGGGGCAGAGAGAGGUCUUUAAGACACAUUACUACCUUGACUCUUUAAGCAAUGUAUCUUUCUGAACACCAUAGACCCAAGACUGCUGGUAUAGCCUUGCACUAGAGGGGAAGUUUGUAUUUAUUCUGUAGGGAGUUUCAUAUAUCAACCAGAAAGUUUGAAGAGGUUAAGAAUAUUCCUAUGAUGGAUUAAUUCUUUUUAAUUUAAAUUCUUUAAUUAUCACUCAUAUUUACAUAGCCAUCCCUCCCCAUUCCCUUGCCCUCCCAUGUUCCCCACCAAC